UGACAUGCAGUAGCUUGCUUGGCCCUAUGACACUCCUGUGAAGAAAUUAAGACUAGAGGCCUUGUGGUUUGUCCAAGACACAUGUCGGGUUAGUGGAGGAACAAGAGCUUGAACUCGGGUCCCUGACUCAGGUCUUAUACUGUGUAUGGGAGGCUAUUGGAGGCCGAGGAAGUAGAAGUGACUCACGUGAAAGAAAGUGCUUUUCCCGCAGGCUGGAGACAGCGAAGUGUGACAAGGGCUUUGAAAGCACUCAGAUUUCAUUUUUAAUACUUCUCAGAGGUGUGCUUUACUCACCUGAACCUUUUCUUACCACAUGCUAUAGCAGAAGGUGACAGAGGUGAACAGCAACUUUUAAGGGUGAUUGUUAGCAACCAAUUAUACAGCACUCACUAUGGGGCAAAUACUAAAUGCUUCAUAUAUAUUAGUUCAUUUAAUCUCACAAUAAGUCUCACAAUUAUCCCCAUUUUACAGGCGUCGAAAUUAAGGCACAGAGAGAUUAAAUUUAAUUAUUAAAGCCUCAAGGGAAAUCUGACACAGCUAGAAAGCAAUGGAAAACACUAAGCGUUGCAUCAGAUGUUGAAGAGGAACUGAUCAUACCGUGGAGAUAAAAAUGAUCUCUUUAAGGAGGAUUUCAAAAAUCUGGUUAUUUCAAGGCUUUGUGCACUGAUGGGAAUGAGGCAGCCGGCAGCCAAGCCACAUAACGGGAGCCUGAAGAAAGACGUCUUGGGCAAUUUGCACAAGUUUCCUUCUUUAAAUAACCACACAGUAAGUCAAUAUCCCUGAGGGCAUUUGUUUAUUGGCUGCCUUAUUACCUUUUUUUUUUUUUUUUUAACACAAAUCUCUUAAAGACACUUCUGUUGGUUUUAUAUACACUUGCUCAGGCUUGUCUUACUUUAGUAAUACUGAAAUUUUGCCAUUCGGCAGUUAGGACAGAGCCAGCUUUGAAUCUGGGAACAAGAGCAGCUCAAGGUCAAUGAGACAGCAGGCUUAUUUCGUGCACAAGUGUCAGUGAGAAACUUGUCAGGAGACAAGUUUGAGGGACUGGAUAUACAACGUGAGUUCUAGCUGCCAACCCCAGGGCAAUAGGCUACUUAUAGGGUUUAGGCGGCAGCUACUAGGGAAACUGCAAAUUCAGGUUGCCUUAUCUUGUAUGAAAUAUGGUGUCUGUGCCGAUUGUAAAUUCUGCCCACAUGGAGCUAGGCAAUGGUGUGCUGCUAAACUGGCUCUUUGGAACUAAAAAAUAAGGAGCAGGGCCAGUUUGUAAUGUUACCCAAUUUUCAUGGUGUAAAUACUCCAACUAUGGCAAGUUUCCAGCUACCAAUGGUUUGUGUGCUUGCACAAUUCCUGAAUAUUUAACACCCAGAUCUCUGGCACUGCUAUCAGCAGCUCUGGCCCACCGUUGGCUAAGAAACAAAUUUCUGUUUGGCACUUCCAGAUCGGCUUUGGAUCCACGCACCAGGCUCCACUUCCCCCCGCCAAAAGCAAGACUGGCUUCAGCUUUGCCAUUCAUUAGGCGCAUGCUCUUUGGCAAGCACUUAACUUUCCCCAAACCACAGUUGUCUCUUGUGACAAUAAGAGUUCAGAAGAUGAUGCAGUACAUGCUGUUUAAAGUUUCUGCCAAGCCACUCUUCUCUGAGAACCACACCUUUCUUGUGGUACCAUAUUUGGAUUGGGAUGAUUUAAUCAGGGAUCGACACUGACCCUGGGGGAGUCCAUUCAUCAGCUGGCCAGUGGCUAGUCAGAUCUCUCCUUUGAUUACUUGAAUAGAGCAAACUUGAGCUUAGAUUGGGGAGUGAAGAGAUAGAGACAGAGGAGACCCCGUCCCUCCAGCUGUGCACCUCAAUCUGCCUGCUCUUUGACCUGAUUGUUCAAAUUUAUCUUGGAGUCUGGGAGAUAUCCCAGCUGCUCCAACAAACUCUCUUCUGCACUCAGGCCAGCCUGAGUGGGAUUUUGUAAAUUACAACCACUAGAGUUUUAAAUAAGGCAUAAAGGAUGCUCAAGACUUUUUUGGGCUCUAAUAUUAAACCAGUGGUCUCAAACUGUGGUCCCUCAACCAGCAGGAUUAACAUCAUUUGGUGACUUGUCAGAAAUGCCCCACCUCAGGCUCCACAAACUCUAUGGAUGGGGCCCAGCAAUUUGCGUUUUUACAAGCCUUCUAGGUGAUCUAGGUGAUCUAGGUGUGUGUGCUCAUGUUUGAGAGCUGCUGCAUUACUAUUCUAAUGUUAUAUUUUAGGUAAGAAAGGCAUUUUCAGAAGGACUGAUGAGGUAUUUUUUUCUGAUUAGUAUUUUUAGAUUGGAGGCCAAAGGUCAUUUUUUUUGGUAAAAAAGUUAGUACUUUUUAUAAAUAACAUCUAUUUACAACUUGAAAGAAAUUACAACAAAUUUCCGUUUUAAAAUUUUCAUGUCAGAGGACCAAGGCUGACAUUUCAAAGAUGACCCUAAAAGAAUACAAGGAGAAGUUGAGUGUGAGGAAUGAAAAUGCCACCCAUUAAAAAAAGAAGUGGAAAAUAAGCACCAGUACCUAAAAUAGUUUCAAAAUGGUGAAGGCUGGAAGCAAGCACAGAACAGAUGACCCAGAUACUGUGUGGUUUUGCACUGAGAGGAUUUCACAAAAUGUACCUCAAACAUGGAAAUGCCUAAUAACUUCUGGCAUAGGAAAUAGUGCACUGACGAUCGAUUUAUAUAAGUCCAGUAAAGAAAUGAAACAGGAAACUGCGGCUUAAUGUCAUCCUGACAUAUCUAUAGUUUUCCCUCUAAGGUUUGGAGAGAUACCGGUAGACAGGAAUCUUCACUGCAACGUCAUCUUAAACAGGCAGCUUGAAUGAAUAGGGCUCACUUGCACGUUGGUUGUUUGAAAGCAACAUUGCUUUCCUGUGAAAAAUCAUACUGUUGGAGAGAAGAUUGCAGGCUGGACAGUGGAAUCCUUCAUGCAAGGGUACCGUAGUGCUGGUAGUGGUGCAAGUUCCCUGCCAGGUUGACCUGUUCAACUGCGGGGCUGAGGUUAGGGUGGGGAGGUGGGAUGGGACCUGGAGGGAGGGGAAUCGGGAAAGGCUGGGGAGUCCUCUGGUGGAAGGAAUGGGGGCUCCCUUUACCGCAGUGUCAAUAGUAGGGGGACUAUGAGUGGAGGAGGGAGGUUCUGCAGUUGAGUGUCCAAAUACGUGAGUUGUCAGCAAGCUGGAUAGCUGAAAGUCGGGAACUGCCCCUAUCUGCCAUUGAGUGCCUACUGUAGAGCCAGCCUCUGAAGCAAGAUUGAAGGGCACAGUGGUUAUGCUUGCUGGCUUUGCAGAAGAUGGGUCCUGGUAGGUCCCAAUGAGCUCCCUGGUAGGUAACCUUGGGCUAGGCACUAAGACCUGCCGUGCUUGGUGUCCUCAUCUGGAAAAUGGAGGUGAUGUAAUAGUAGUUUUUCCUUACAAGGCUGUUGUGCAAAUUGAGUGACAUAAUGCCUGUGAAGCACUUAACACACUGAGCGUUUAUGUUAGAUGUUGUCGUCCACAAUUAGUCCCCUGAGAGACUUUAGUUAAAUGAUUCUUACUCUUUUUUGAAAAAGAAAAUGACAGAUUAGAGUUUAUUAGAGAGGUUGAUUAGCUAAAACAUGUAAGAAGUAUAAAGAGGACUUUAAUGGUUGUGGGAAAUUGCACUUUCUCAUAUGAGCUGGUGAUCCACAUCUCCGAAUCUUCACAAAAGAUCCCGCCACUAGAAAAUCUUACUAGGAGUGUGUUCCGCAGGGCUUUAGGAAUUCUAGAGAAAAUAAAUACAGGAAAAUUUUCCAUAAUAAUUCAUGAUGGAUAAAGGAUGUUUAUUAUUAUAGUGGUUAUUUUUUUUUUUUCAAUAUGACCGCUCUUUGAAAGUAAUGGGAUUUAAAAAAGAAAACAAAACAAAGCAAAAACAAGCCCUGCCUGAUAGUGCAGGGACACUGCCUGGAUAUAUUUAGUCAUGCAUCUUUACUUUUCUGACAGUCCCAACUGCUGAAAAUAUUCACAAGUGUGAUUUUUGCCUUUGUUGCUUUGCUGGGUAAAUACAGAUAAUACACUGCCCUUCUGGGCUUUAAAAAUGCUCUGAAAGGCCUAAAAGGUUACAGCUAUUUGGCUGUGCCACAGGGUUUCCCAGGGCCCUAGUGAUGUGUGGGCAAAGCAAUGUUGGUUAUGUGGCACUCAGUGAGUGUGCUAGCUACUGCCAAUAUCAUCUAGAUGAUACUACUGAGACAGGACCUCCCAAGCCACACAUGUGUCUGUCCCAAGGAUUUGGAACACAUCCCUGAGGCUGUGAUUAUAGGCAGUUUCCUUGGCACCUUUCGCCAUUACUCCCCAACUGGCUUAUCUUUCAGUCAUCCUUCAAAAUGCUAGCUUUGAGUAGAUGCAGCCCAGUCUGCCUUAUUCCUCAGUGUAUCACUAGUACUUUUUACAGGGCCUGGGACACAUUAGGGGAUCUAUCAACAUUAAAUAGAUAAUUGGCCAGGGUUGGCUAUGUAAACUUGCAUGGACUCCUACACAAAGUCUAGUCUCAACCUGAGCUCCAAGAAGUUAGGAUUAAGAGAAGGAUUUGUGGUCACACACUGAGAACACUUAAUAUCCAGGCAGUAGUGAGGCCAAAUAUUAGUAACAUAGAAUACAUGGGGAUGAUGUGUCUUCUUCUCCACCCCGUUUCAGCCUGGAAAAGUCAUGUGUCUUGACUGUGCUCUGAGCUGAAGGAAAUCUAGAAAAAUUAGCUUAAAUGUCAAGAAGGCAGAUGCAUGUCAGUCCUUAUUGACAUUUUGGAAAACAGGUCUAGGGACCGUUUAUUCGUCCAACAAAUAUUUGUUGAGGCCCUACUAUGUGCCAGGAAUGAUUCUAGGCACUGGUGAUAUAUCAGUAACGAAAACAGACAAUUUCCUUGUCCUCAUGGAUUUCCAUUGAAGUGGAGCAAAAUAGACAGGAAACAAAGAGGUCAAUAGCAAAGGGUGGUGAUGGAACUAUGAUAAAGAAAACUAAAGCAGGCUGAGGGGAGGCAGAAAGGCAGGGGUUGCUAUUUUAGCUAGGCUGGUCAGAAAAGGGCAUCCUGGAGCAGAAACACUAUGGACAGAGAUGUGAAUACAAGGAUCAUAAUAACAUCUCAAGAAAGAGGAUUCCAGGAUGAGGGAAGAGUGAGUGUAAAGAACCUGAAUUAGGGGUGACAUUGGCAUAUUCAAGAAACAGCACGAGGGCCUAUCUGGCUGAAGAGUGUGCAAAGGAGAGAGCAGAAGAAAUGAAUUCAGCAAGGAAAUGGGAGCCAGUUGCUGGAAAACAUUUUAGGCCAAGGCCAGGACGUUGGGUUUAUUCUAAGUGUGAUAAGAGGCUUGUGAGCAGAGAAGUCAUCUCCAUUUUUAAAGGAGGACUCUGGCUGCCUGUUAUGUUGAGAAGAAACACUGGAGACAGAGGGAGAAGCAGGGAGACCAGCUCGGCGGCUAUUACAGAAGAUCUGGUAAGAAUUCGAAGUAGCUUGGAUAAGGAUGGGAGGGCAGAAGAAAUAGUAAAUGAAGAAAUCUGGGAUAUGAUUUAGAGACUGAGCCAAUGGAUUGAAGAUAGCAUUUGAGAAAAAGAGAAGACCAAGGAUGACUUCAAGAUUUUUUACCUAAUUAAAUGGAAGUUUUUCCUGCGAUGGGACACACAAGGAUUGGGUUUUGUGAAGGGGAAAUAAAAGAUUUGGUUUGGGAUCUGGGAUACUAUUAUAGUGACCUGUUGCUGCAUAACAAACCACCCAAGACUUAGUAACUUAAACCUGCAAUUAUUAUUAUUUUCCAUGUUUCUGUAGGUUACCUGGGCUUAGCUGGAAAACUCGUGAUUGUUUUUCUCUGGAAUUUGCAGGGAGACAUCUGGGGCUCACACAUCUGGCUGGCAAUUGAUGCUGGCCAUUCGCUGGCAGCUGCCAAUGGCAGUGCCAGCAUAUGUUGCUUAGUCUCCUUACAGUAGGGCAGUUGGAUUGCAAGAGGGAAUACCCCUAACCGUUGCAUUCCAAAAGAGCCAGGUAGAAGUUCCAAGGAUUCUUAUAACUAGCUUUACAAGCACCCAAAUGUUACUUCUGCUGUGUUUUACUGGUUAAGCAAACCACUAAGGCCAGCCUGUAUUCAAGGGAAGGGGAGUAGGACUUAACCUCUUGAUUUGAGGAGCAGCGCACAUGUAUAGGGAGGGAACGUGUGAUUGGCAGUCAUCUUUGGACACCAUCUAUCACUGACACUCUGAGAUGUGUAUUGAUAUUCAAGUCUGGAACUCAGGAAGAGACUGGGUCUCCAGAAAUUGGGCAGGAAAUUUCUUCUCAGAGAUUUUUGGUUAGAUUGUUAGACCUGAUAUUGUGAAAUUAGAAUUUGCUCUCCUGCUUUUUCUUUAAAAAAGUGAUCUAGCUGGAACUAUGUUAUUCUUUUACACGUGCCUGUGGUAGCUAAUAAAUGAACUGCAUUCUUUUUAAAAUCAUCAUUAUUACUUAACACAAUGUCUGAUACUGUAGACACUUAAUCAUUAUUAACAGCUAUUACACUGUUGUACUUCCUUAUUCACAUUAGUUCUAAACUGAAUAAAUGUCCUAUGCUACAUCUCUGUGGCAUGCAUUUGUCCAGCUGUAUUCAUGUUGGGUUGAUUGUUCCUGAUAUUAUAAAACAUUUCAGACCCACUCUUCCUCCUGAUCCCAUUAUUAAUGUAUGUACCUUUUCUCAGCCUAGAGUCUUCAGACGUAUUUCCCAAGUCCACAAAAUCUAUAAGAUUAAACUUUUCUGGAUUUUCACACAUAUGAUAAUCUUAAAGUAAUCUGAGCACAUUCUAGAAUUCCAAGACUACCUCCUUUUAUUGAAGUACUCCAUGCAAUUUCAUAGGGACAUUUGCAUUUAACAUAUGGUCAUGUUAGUACCAAGUAAAGCCAAAUUACUAUACAAUACACACUCUAAGGUUUUUGCACUCAUUCCACAGAGAAAGGUUUAGUGGUCCAUAUCAUUGGCAUAUGAAACUAUAAAAACCUUAGAGCUGACCAUUAGUACAUAUUCACAGAGUCAUUGGCUAUAUUGUGAAAUCUUAUCUUUAAAUUAGCAAUGGUUAGAUUGUAAAUGCAGUAGUGAAAAACAAAGAAUUUUUUUCUUUGUUAAACAGUAUAUUUUCAUUUCAGUAUCACAUUUUGAAAUCUGACAGGGCACCUGGGUGGCUCAGUCAGUUAAGAGUUGGACUCCUGAUUUCGGCUUAGGUCAUGAUGUAACGGUUCAUGCGAUGAAGCCCUGCAUGGACCUCUGCACUGACAAUAAGUAGCCUGCUUGGGAUUCUCUCUCUCUCUCUCUCUCUCUGCCUCUCCCCCACUUACAAGUGCAUGCACUCACACUCUUUCCCUCCCUCUCAAAAUAAAUAAAUUUUAUAUGUAUAUAAUUCAGAAGUGUGCUAAUUGGCCUUUUAUGAUAAUGGAUAAAGGAUUUUAAAAAUGCUUAUUUUUAAAAAAGAUAAGCAAAAAAAGAUAACAAUAAUGGUCCAGCUUUGCAACAAGUGAAAUGAAACACAUCAAUGCAAGCAUCAGCAAUUUAGUGGCAGCAAAUAACAUCAUUCAUUACUCUAAUGUUGAUAAUUUGCAUUUUAUUGAUUUUGUAGCUUAGUUUGUAUUUAAUUUGUAAACUUGAUUUAGUUUUAGAUUUGCAUAACAUCUAUGAGCAUAAGGCAGUUACACUUCACUCAUCUUAAAGAAACAUAAUUGAAAUGAUUUAAGUCAAUGCUGAUGAUUUAUAUAUUUGUUUCCUUUAAAGUCUUGCUUCAUUACUCAUGUUUGAGAAAUACUGACUUUGUGAAUAAACUUCUAUAAAUCUAAGAAAUAGUCACAUCAUAUUCUAGAAGGAAAGUAAAGAAAAAAAUCACUAUAGGGCUCAUUUUUUUUUCUUCUCAGAGAUGUUUAUAGGCUUAUAAAAUUCUGGUUCCAGUUGUUUUUUUGUUUGUUUGUUUUUGGUGUUUGUUUUUUAAACAUUUUCUGUUUGUUUUGCCUGUGUGGAACAUAGGAGAAAUUUUUACAUGUAUCUCUAGGCCUGCUUUCUGGUUUUCUAGAGAAAUUUGCUCUGAUUAUAUCAAUCUACUUUCAGUUUCAGAAACAUACCAAGCUCUUUGUGACCUCAGCACCAUUGUACUUGCUGUGUCUUCUGUUCCAGCUAGAGCACUUUCCCUUGGCUUUUUGCAUGGCUCAUCCUUUUAAAUCUUUAAGUCUUUGCUUAAAUUUUCCUUCCUCAGGAUGCCCUUCCAUGAUCACCUCUGUUUAAAGGAGUCUCCUCUUAUUUUCUGUCACCACCUUAUUCAUUUCCCUCAUAGUACUUAUAAGAUCUCUCAUGAAUUAAGAUGUUUUACUUGGAGCACCUGGGUGGCUCAGUCAGUUCAGUGUCUGACUGUGGCUCAGUUCAUGAUCUCAUGGUAUAUGAGUUCAAGCCCUCCAUUGGGCUCUCUGCUGUCAGCACAGAACCUGCUUCAGAUCCUCUGUCCCCCUCUCUCUCUGCCCCUCCCCCAUUUACACGCGCGCGCGCGCGCGCGCUCUCUCUCUCUC